AGAGUUUGAUCCUGGCUCAGGACGAACGCUGGCGGCGUGCUUAACACAUGCAAGUCGAACGGAAAGGCCCCUUUGGGGGUACUCGAGUGGCGAACGGGUGAGUAACACGUGAGUAACCUGCCCUUGACUUCGGGAUAACUUCAGGAAACUGGGGCUAAUACCGGAUAGGAAUCCUUGCUGCAUGGUGGGGGUUGGAAAGCUUCGGCGGUUUUGGAUGGACUCGCGGCUUAUCAGCUUGUUGGUGGGGUAGUGGCUUACCAAGGCUUUGACGGGUAGCCGGCCUGAGAGGGCGACCGGCCACAUUGGGACUGAGAUACGGCCCAGACUCCUACGGGAGGCAGCAGUGGGGAAUAUUGCACAAUGGGCGGAAGCCUGAUGCAGCAACGCCGCGUGCGGGAUGACGGCCUUCGGGUUGUAAACCGCUUUCAGCAGGGGCGAAGCUUUUGUGACGGUACCUGCAGAAGAAGCACCGGCUAACUACGUGCCAGCAGCCGCGGUGAUACGUAGGGUGCGAGCGUUGUCCGGAUUUAUUGGGCGUAAAGAGCUCGUAGGUGGUUGAUUGCGUCGGAAGUGAAAACUUGGGGCUUAACCCUGAGCGUGCUUUCGAUACGGGUUGACUUGAGGAAGGUAGGGGAGAAUGGAAUUCCUGGUGGAGCGGUGGAAUGCGCAGAUAUCAGGAGGAACACCAGUGGCGAGGGCGGUUCUCUGGACCUUUCCUGACGCUGAGGAGCGAAAGCGUGGGGAGCGAACAGGCUUAGAUACCCUGUAGUCCACGCUGUAAACGGUGGGUACUAGGUGUGGGGUCCAUUCCACGGAUUCCGUGCCGUAGCUAACGCAUUAAGUACCCCGCCUGGGGAGUACGGCCGCAAGGCUAAAACUCAA
rnacentral:rRNA from 1 species